CCUACGGGCGGCAGCAGUGAGGAAUAUUGGUCAAUGGACGCAAGUCUGAACCAGCCAUGCCGCGUGCAGGAAGACGGCUCUAUGAGUUGUAAACUGCUUUUGUACGAGGGUAAACGCAGAUACGCGUACCUGUCUGAAAGUAUUGUACGAAUAAGGAUCGGCUAACUCCGUGCCAGCAGCCGCGGUAAUACGGAGGAUUCAAGCGUUAUCCGGAUUUAUUGGGUUUAAAGGGUGCGUAGGCGGUCGGAUAAGUUAGAGGUGAAAUCCCGAGGCUCAACUUCGGAAUUGCCUGUGAUACUGUUCGUCUAGAGAGUAGUUGCGGUAGGCGGAAUGUAUGGUGUAGCGGUGAAAUGCUUAGAGAUCAUACAGAACACCGAUUGCGAAGGCAGCUUACCAAGCUACUUCUGACGUUGAGGCACGAAAGCGUGGGGAGCAAACAGGAUUAGAUACCCUAGUAGUC
rnacentral:rRNA from 1 species